rnacentral:rRNA from 1 species
UACGAAGGGGGCUAGCGUUGUUCGGAAUUACUGGGCGUAAAGCGCACGUAGGCGGAUUUGUAAGUCAGGGGUGAAAUCCCGGGGCUCAACCUCGGAACUGCCUUUGAUACUGCAAAUCUCGAGUCCGGAAGAGGUGAGUGGAAUUCCUAGUGUAGAGGUGAAAUGCGCAGAUAUCAGGAGGAACACCGGUGGCGAAGGCG